rnacentral:rRNA from 1 species
UACGGAGGGUGCAAGCGUUACUCGGAAUCACUGGGCGUAAAGAGCGUGUAGGCGGAUAGAUAAGUCAGAAGUGAAAUCCAAUAGCUUAACUAUUGAACUGCUUUUGAAACUGUCUAUCUAGAGUAUGGGAGAGGUAGAUGGAAUUUCUGGUGUAGGGGUAAAAUCCGUAGAGAUCAGAAAGGGAAUACCGAUUGCGAAAGGCGAUCUACUGGAACAUAACUGACGCUGAGACGCGAAAAGCGUGGGAGGCAAACAGGAUUAGAUACCCCGACGU